CGCAGCGCCCUUUAUUGGGCAGCUAAUCUGGGUGCUCUGAAUGGCUAGCGAGGCCUGAGUGACAGGGACUGUUAUGUCUCAGAGAAAACAGGGAGCCGUUGGCUUGUCCCGGAGUACACACAUACAGUAGAUCUGGCAAAGUGGCCCAUGGAUAUAACAUCCUGGCAAUAUAGAGAGUGAGGCAGGAGAGUCCCCAGGGAGAUCUACACCAGCCUGGACUACAGAGCAAGACCCUGUCUCAGAAAACAAAAUAAUAAAGCACUCUUCGUUUCACAGCUUAAA